rnacentral:rRNA from 1 species
UACAGAGGUCUCAAGCGUUGUUCGGAUUCAUUGGGCGUAAAGGGUGUGUAGGUGGCGCCGUAAGUCGGGUGUGAAAUUUCGGAGCUUAACUCCGAAACUGCAUUCGAUACUGCGGUGCUUGAGGACUGGAGAGGAGACUGGAAUUCAUGGUGAGCGGUGAAAUGCGUAGAUAUCGUAAGGAAGACCAGUGGCGAAGGCGGGUCUCUGGACAGUUCCUGACGCUGAGGCACGAAGGUCAGGGGAGCAAACGGG